GGUGGAAUUGGUGGGUCAUAUAGUAAGUAUAUUUGUAGCUUUAUAAGAAACUACCGAAUUAUUUUUCCAGAGUGUCUGUGCCAUUUUACAUUUCCUCUAGCAAC
rnacentral:pre_miRNA from 1 species